GGGGCGGCGGGGGGACACCUGUCUGUCUGUAUGGACGGACAGCAAUUAUGACCAUAUACCUCGACAUAUUUGACCACUUAUAGCUUAUUUAAACAUGCACAGAUACGCACGAUUAGCACAAAUGAGGCCUUUAACGGGUUUACUGUAAUAUAAUCAAGUAUAAUAUAAUAAACAGCACGCGUGAUAAGGUGGGGGCAAUUAAACGUCACCAAUGAAUCAUAUGUAAUUAUCUAAAAAAAGAAACCACUACAAGCCGUGAUUAUAAUGAUGUGUAUUGGCUGCAAACUAUAUAAAAUGCUAAACAUGAUUUCCAAAUAAUUGUGAGGUCAAAAAAAUAAAUAAUAGAAUCAAUCAGUCUCGCGAGCAACAUAAAUUGCGUUAGAGCCGUUUCAAAUGACUGCGGUAUUUAAAAAAAAAUCAAAAAAUCAUUUAUUGUAUGUUAAUUCAUUUAUUGUAUUUUAUUCAUCGCAUUUUCCUUGCGGGUUGUAAGAGUUUAUUGUGUGUGAUUAGCAGUUCUCCCUUCAGGCGGCACACACGCACGCGCGCGCGCGCGCGCACACUGCUAUACUACGUGAAGUGUGUGUGUGUGCACACAACAAUCGAUUAAGACGAGACACACGAGUAUGUCACCUUGCACUUCAUAUGUACGCGCGCACCUACACGCACCAUAAUGAUUUCCCAUGCUCGAGUGUUUGUAGAACAAAGCAGCGCGCGCGCGCGCGCGCACACGGAACAUGACGCGUGGAUUGGCAGGAGUGCCAAUCGAAAAAUACAUCAAUUAUGCAUUUGAAAUAAUAAUCAGUGGAGCAAAACUGAUUUGGAAAAAAUCAGAAUAGAGAAUAUUUUGUUAAAUGUCCACAUUGAGGGAUUAUAAUACGUAAAAAAAAAAAGUAUUUAAAACAAAGAUAUUUUAUUUGAAUACAUUGAAAAAUAAAAUAUGUAUUCACACGUGCCUUGCUCGGGUUCAUUGCAAAAUAUAAUUGAAAACUGAUCAUGUUGAUGGAUCAUAAUCAAUCGUAUUUAGCAUGACUAUUCAAUUCACCAAUUCAUACAAAGUCAAAAAUGUGAGGGAAAAAAAAGUGUACCUUUGUGUGUGUGUGUGUGUGUGUGUGUGUGUGUGGGGGGGGGCUUUAACGUUAUCUGUGCGCAGAUAGAGGACCACUGACCCCGGGGGUCCGCAGAGUUCCCGGCCCGAUUAACCUCAGCAGAGCCGCACGGGAGCAAAGGUUAACCCGCCUAAUCAACUUCAAGAGGGGGACUGAGUGACAUCAUCAACUGGGAGACUUCUCCGCACACACGGGAAGAGAGAGACGCAGGCCCACUGCCAGCCUGCUCUCACCGUUGCUUGUUGCGCUCAGCAGCUCCUCCGCUGAAUACACACAAGCGGGGUGUUACAAAGGAGAGCCCCAAAAGCACUGGUGGGAAGUAAUCGAGUAGAAAUACUUUGUCAAUCGAGAGGAUGUUCAAGUCAACCGCAAUUGAGAUCUUGAUUGAUUGACAAGGCAGAAAAAAAUAGAGAGCGCAGCAUCGUGGAGGAACGUGAACCAGGGAGCAUUAAUGACAAUGACGUAAUGGGUUUGGAGAAGCAAGAUAUUCCCCAUCCACGGCCUUAUUUAAGAUAAUUGUUUGAUGUUGUCAGCUCCAAAAAUUAUUUCUGGUGAAUGUGUUGUGCCCAUGUGUGCCUGGUGUAAAAAUCCUUUCUCAGUUUAAUCUGAAAAGCACAGAUAAAGUAUGUUUUUUCUUCUUCCAGUGGUUAUCUUAGCUAAUGUAAUAUUGUUAAUCCUUUGGCAAAACGACAACAAUAUAUUGUUUUGGUAGCGUGUCAAAUGAUUUGUAUUCCUUCUCGAGACAAGCGCUACACGCGAGUUAAUCAAAUGGGGAAAGUGUUUUGUGUGCAGGGAAGUUUUUUUGUUGUUGUUUCCCAUUGUGGCAAAGUUACUAUCAUUACUAUCAUGAGUUUGCAUGUUAGCGGAGUACCCGGCGAAAACCCAGGCAAGCGCAGGUCCCGCUCCGGGUACUCGGGCUUCUUCCCAAAUUCCCCCCAAAAAUGCUUGUAGGUUAAGUUGGUAUCAGAAAAAAAGAUACCUUUACAAAGAUACUAGAGCAAUGCUACAUUUGGAGGAGGUGUUAUUAUAACGACAACCAUACAAGCAAUAAAAAAAACAACCAAAAAAAAACUAUACAUACAUUAUUUGGUAAGUGUACCAAAUGUUGUGGGCCCUGAGAGUAUUGGCAAAGAAGUUCCCCCCAGUGACAGUGAAUGUCACACAAUGACCGCUUCUAAUAUGUACUGUAUAAUAUAGUGACACCUUUGUUACACUUUUCAGAAUUUGUGACUUUUACAUUUUUUCAUAUUAUUUUAGGUACUCAUUUCAUUGACAGUAUAAUACUUUAUUUGCCAGUUGAAUUUUUGUGACGUUUUUCCAUUUUUCCAAAUUAUUUAUGUGUAUUUUAUUUUGUAUUAGUAGUAUAUGUGUGUGUUUUUUUUUAAAGCCUCAUGGAAUUAUCACUCAUUAUUAACCCAUUUUGAGUAUUGUCAGAAUCAAGACAUUUUAGAUGAUUUGGAUCGCUGAAAUAAAAACAAUUCAAAA